ACGAACGCUGGCGGCGUGCUUAACACAUGCAAGUCGAACGGGUCUGCCCUGUUUUUUGCGGGGUGGGUCAGUGGCGAACGGGUGAGUAACACGUGAGUAACCUGCCCCUCACUUCUGGAUAACCGCUUGAAAGGGUGGCUAAUACGGGGUGUUCUGGCUGUGCCGCAUGGUGUGGCUGGGAAAGAUUCACUUUUGUGGUGUUUUGGUGGGGGAUGGGCUCGCGGCCUAUCAGCUUGUUGGUGGGGUGAUGGCCUGCCAAGGCUUUGACGGGUAGCCGGCCUGAGAGGGUUGGCGGUCACACUGGGACUGAGAUACGGCCCAGACUCCUGCGGGAGGCAGCAGUGGGGGGUAUUGCACAAUGGGCGGAAGCCUGAUGCAGCGACGUCGCGUGAGGGAUGGAGGCCUUCGGGUUGUGAACCUCUUUCGCCGGUGAAGAAGGUCCUGCUCUUUGUGGUGGGGUUGACGGUAGCCGGGUUAUGAAGCGCCGGCUAACUACGUG
rnacentral:rRNA from 1 species